rnacentral:rRNA from 1 species
CCUACGGGAGGCAGCAGUGGGGAAUAUUGCACAAUGGGGGAAACCCUGAUGCAGCGACGCCGCGUGAGUGAAGAAGUAUCUCGGUACGUAAAGCCCUAUCAGCAGGGAAGAAAAUGACGGUACCUGACUAAGAAGCCCCGGCUAACUACGUGCCAGCAGCCGCGUUACUACGUAGGGGGCAAGCGUUAUCCGGAUUUACUGGGUGUAAAGGGAGCGUAGACGGCAGCACAAGUCAGGAGUGAAAGCCCGGGGCUUAACCCCGGAACUGCUUUGGAAACUGGGCGGCUGGAGUGCAGGAGGGGUAAGCGGAAUUCCUGGUGUAGCGGUGAAAUGCGUAGAUAUUAGGAGGAACACCGGUGGCGAAGGCGGCUUACUGGACUGUAACUGACGUUGAGGCUCGAAAGCGUGGGGAGCAAACAGGAUUAGAUACCCCGGUAGUC